CCUGGUUGAUCCUGCCAGUAGUCAUAUGCUUGUCUCAAAGAUUAAGCCAUGCAUGUGUAAGUACAGGCCGACUUAAGGCGAAACCGCGGACGGCUCAUUAAAUCAGAUAUAACUCAUUGGAUCUCUGCUGAACCGCAAUACUUGGAUAACUGUGGUAAUUCUAGAGCUAAUACAUGCCUUUGUAGUCUCCGACCGCGAGGGAGGAGCGCUUUUAUUAGACAAAAACCCUCGGCAGCCGGUUCCCGCAAGGGGCAGGCCGCACACAUCUUGGUGAAUCAGAAUAACUUUUGCCGAGCGCACGACCCCUCCCGUAACCCGGGUUGGGUCGGCGCCGCGUCCUGCAGGCGUCUGCCUUAUCAGCUCUCGAUUGUAGGUUAAACGCCUACAAUGGCUAUCACGGGUAACGGGGAAUCAGGGUUCGAUUCCGGAGAGGGAGCCUGAGAAACGGCUACCACAUCUAAGGAAGGCAGCAGGCGCGCAAAUUAUCCACUCCCGGCACGGGGAGGUAGUGACGAAAAAUACUGUUGCGAGCCCCGAACGGGGCCUCGCAAUUGGAAUGAGUACACUUUAAAUCCUUGUACGAGGAUCGAGUGGAGGGCAAGUCUGGUGCCAGCCGCCGCGGUAAUUCCAACUCCACUAGCGUAUAUUAAAGUUGUUGCGGUUGAAACGCUCGUAGUUUGACUUCUGCUCCGGACCGGCCGGGAAACCCUGGUGGAGGUCCGAAGCGUUUCUAACGUGCAAAUCGAUCGCCAGAGCUGAGUAUAGAGGCGAAAGACCAAUCCAACUAUCUAGUAGCUGGUUCCCUCCGAAGUUUCCCUCAGGAUAGCUGGCACUCGCAUCGAACGAGUUCCAUCCGGUAAAGCGAAUGACUAGGGGUGUUGGGGACGAAAGAACCUAGAAUGUAAUAGUCAGAAACUCCGUGCUGAUGCUGACAGACGAAAACAUUAAAAACAUUCCUUACUAAAGUGCUAAAUGACAUUAUAAACAUAAAUUCACUGAACAGCUACCUAACCGGAGACUAAAUAUCCAUUAUGCAGAACUCAAGCUCACAGGGCAGGACAAUAAAACUUCUUUUUCUAACUUAUUAUUUUUAUUAUAGGCUUUAGAUCGAUCCGCGCGACGCCAGUUAACACGUUGGCGCCAUUGUUAAUGUUCUUUAUGUUAUUCUACUUUUAUGGAAAUAUACAUUUAUUAAACGCAUGU
rnacentral:rRNA from 1 species